GACAGCAGCAGCCGCGGUAAUACGUAGGUGGCGAGCGUUGUCCGGAUUUAUUGGGCGUAAAGGGAGUGUAGGCGGUCUUUUAAGUCUGAUGUGAAAGCCCCCGGCUCAACCGGGGAGGGUCAUUGGAAACUGGGAAACUUGAGUGCAGAAGAGGAGAGUGGAAUUCCACGUGUAGCGGUGAAAUGCGUAGAGAUGUGGAGGAACACCAGUGGCGAAGGCGACUCUCUGGUCUGUAACUGACGCUGAGUAGCGAAAGCGUGGGGAGCGAACAGGAUUAGAUACCCCGGUAGUCCCUGUCUCUUAUAA
rnacentral:rRNA from 1 species